GCGUCCGUUCCUUAUCAUAAAUACUAUAAUUCAGCCACAGCCUUCAAGUAAUUCAUGAUCGAAUGCGAGAAGUGUCGUGAUUUCAGGUCAUUAAAGACCGUCUUCUUGAUGUAAGUGUUCAGAAUGCAAACGAAACUAACUAGACGUGCAGAAGUGACAGCUGUCUGCUGAGUGGAAGCAGCAGAACGUCCCAGGUAAAUUUGCUUCCCGAUAGCCCAGUUGCUCCUAUCCACCUUCUGAAUGUUCCCGAUUCCUCAACGGAAUAAAAGACAAAAACACACAUGUCUUCUGGCACUAUAAAAUUCCCCACUUCGUCGUAUUUCUCGAUUGUCAGCGAUUUGAAGGAAAAUGCUGACUAAGCUUUCUCCCGAGGCAGCUUUCAAUAUGAUUAAUCUACAGAAGGGGGUAAUCAAUAUGGGGCUCGCAGUUUCGGCACCGCAUUUGCGCCCUCAUGGUUGCAUGCACAGGUAAAUAGGAAACGUCUUUCGUCAGCUGCGAACAUAUAUGGACUUACAUAGACAAUAAGAUACAACGAGAAGCUAAGCGAAAUAGAGGCAGUCCUUCAGUUUUUAGGGCAAUAUAUCUAG